UGUUUGCACUUUGCGGGAAGGGUAAGAACCUUCGACUAAGGUUCGACUCGAGCGCCAGCGAGAGAACGUUGCCACAGGCAACGGUGCGAAGAGCGAUAGCGACGAGUUAUCCUUCCCCCACCACCA
rnacentral:sRNA from 4 species